GAUGAACGCUGGCGGCGUGCCUAAUACAUGCAAGUCGAGCGAACAGACGAGGAGCUUGCUCCUCUGACGUUAGCGGCGGACGGGUGAGUAACACGUGGAUAACCUACCUAUAAGACUGGGAUAACUUCGGGAAACCGGAGCUAAUACCGGAUAAUAUAUUGAACCGCAUGGAUCAAUAGUGAAAGACGGUUUUGCUGUCACUUAUAGAUGGUUCCGCGCCGCAUUAGCUAGUUGGUAAGGUAACGGCUUACCAAGGCAACGAUGCGUAGCCGACCUGAGAGGGUGAUCAGCCACACUGGAACUGAGACACGGUCCAGACUCCUACGGGAGGCAGCAGUAGGGAAUCUUCCGCAAUGGGCGAAAGCCUGACGGAGCAACGCCGCGUGAGUGAUGAAGGUCUUCGGAUCGUAAAGCUCUGUUAUUAGGGAAGAACAAAUGUGUAAGUAACUAUGCACGUCUUGACGGUACCUAAUCAGAAAGCCCCGGCUAACUACGUG
rnacentral:rRNA from 1 species